rnacentral:rRNA from 1 species
CGAAGUUGGAUUCGCUAGUAAUCGCGCAUCAGCCAUGGCGCGGUGAAUACGUUCCCGGGCCUUGUACACACCGCCCGUCAAGCCAUGGGAGCCGGGGGCGCCUGAAGUCCGGGACCGNGAGGACCGGCCUAAGGCGAAACUGGUGACUGGGGCUAAGUCGUAACAAGGUAAC